GUGGUAUUAGCUUGGUGAUAGAGCCCUCGCUUCGUACGCGGGAUGAUCCGGGUUCGAUUCCCGGCUGCUUUC
rnacentral:tRNA from 1 species